UGUUAUUUUGUCUAUUACUAUGUUUUUAUUUUCUAAGAAAACAUUAAUUAAUAAUUUUGUUAAUCAUUCUUUUUUUACCUUAUUAAAGUUUGAUUCUGACUUUAAAGUUUAUUAUUUCCAAAAAUUAUAUGCUAGCUUUUAUUAUUUAGAUUUAAGAGCAGUAAUUAAUAUUAGUAAUUAAUUUAUUAGAUCUAAUUAUGGAAAAUAUAAGGGGUUAAUCUUGUGCCAGCAUCCGCGGUCAUACAAGACUUUUGAAUAAAUUCUUUAAGAAAAUUUCCUAUUCUUUAUUAAUUAUCUUUUAUAUGUUAAAGGUGGAAUUUGUAUGUUAAUGUUAUAAUUUUAAUAGGUUGGAUUAUAGUAAUUAAAAAACUGGGAUUAGAUACCCCAUUAUUUUACUUAUUAUUCUUGGGUAGUAAUAUUUAAACCUAAAGAAUUUGGCGGUUCUUAAACUUACUAGAGGAACCUGUCCUGUAAUCGAUAGUCCACGAUUUUAUUUACCUAUUCUUGUAAUCAGCUUAUAUACCGCCGUUUAGUGAACUAAAUGAAUAGUUUCUCUAAAUUAAUUAGUUAAAGAAAUCAGGUCAAGGUGUAGUUUAUGAAUAGGUAGAGAUGGGUUACAAUAAUAAUUUACACGGAUAUUUGGCUUUAUAGUUGAAUUGAAGGUGGAUUUAGAAGUAAAUUCAAAUAUUUUGAAGAAAGCUCUUGAGAAUGUACACAUCGCCCGUCGCUCUCUUGUCUGAAGAGAUAAGUCGUAACAAAGUAGAUAAACCGGAAGGUUUAUCUUGAAAGCU
rnacentral:ncRNA from 1 species